AGAGUUUGAUCCUGGCUCAGGACGAACGCUGGCGGCGUGCUUAACACAUGCAAGUCGAGCGGAAAGGCCCUUCGGGGUACUCGAGCGGCGAACGGGUGAGUAACACGUGAGGAACCUGCCCCUGGCUCUGGGAUAGCUCCCGGAAACGGGAAUUAAUACCGGAUAUGACUUCCUGCUGCAUGGCGGGGGGUGGAAAGUUUUUCGGCUGGGGAUGGACUCGCGGCCUAUCAGCUUGUUGGUGGGGUAAUGGCCUACCAAGGCGACGACGGGUAGCCGGCCUGAGAGGGCGACCGGCCACACUGGGACUGAGACACGGCCCAGACUCCUACGGGAGGCAGCAGUGGGGAAUAUUGCGCAAUGGGCGGAAGCCUGACGCAGCGACGCCGCGUGGGGGAUGACGGCCUUCGGGUUGUAAACCCCUUUCAGCAGGGACGAAGCGUGAGUGACGGUACCUGCAGAAGAAGCGCCGGCUAACUACGUGCCAGCAGCCGCGGUAACACGUAGGGCGCGAGCGUUGUCCGGAAUUAUUGGGCGUAAAGAGCUCGUAGGCGGCUUGUUGCGUCUGCCGUGAAAUCUGAGGGCUUAACCCUCAGCUUGCGGUGGAUACGGGCAGGCUAGAGGCAGGCAGGGGAGAAUGGAAUUCCCGGUGUAGCGGUGAAAUGCGCAGAUAUCGGGAGGAACACCGGUGGCGAAGGCGGUUCUCUGGGCCUGUACUGACGCUGAGGAGCGAAAGCGUGGGGAGCGAACAGGAUUAGAUACCCCAGUAGUCC
rnacentral:rRNA from 1 species